rnacentral:rRNA from 1 species
UACGAAGGGUGCAAGCGUUACUCGGAAUUACUGGGCGUAAAGCGUGCGUAGGUGGUGAGUUAAGUCUGUCGUGAAAGCCCCGGGCUCAACCUGGGAAUGGCGAUGGAUACUGGCUCGCUAGAGUGCGGUAGAGGAGAGUGGAAUUCCCGGUGUAGCAGUGAAAUGCGUAGAGAUCGGGAGGAACAUCUGUGGCGAAAGCGGCGCACUGGACCACAUCUGACGCUGAGGCGCGAAAGCUAGGGGAGCAAACAGG